UUUCAAUCUGGGGAAGAUUCAAGGAUGGG
rnacentral:piRNA from 1 species